GACGAACGCUGGCGGUGUGCUUAACACAUGCAAGUCGAACGGCAAGGCCCUGCUUUUGUGGGGUGAUCGAGUGGCGAACGGGUGCGUAACACGUGAGUAACCUGCUCUUGACUUUGGGAUAACUUAAGGAAACUGGGGUUACUCUCGUAUCGCAGCCCCUGUAGCAUGGAGGGGGUUGGAAAGUCUCGGCGGUCGGGGAUGGAUUGGCGGAUUAUGAGUUUGCUGGUGGGGUAGUGGCUUACCAAGGCAGUGACGGGUAGCCGGCCUGAGAGGGUGGCCGGCCACAAGGGUACUAAGGGAGGGACCAGUGGGCAACGUUAGGCAACAGUGGCAAAUAUUGCACAAUGAGCGGAAGCCUGAUGCGGCAGCGCCGCGGUCGUGAUGACGGCCUGCGGGUUGAGAACCGCAGUCGCCUAAUACGAAGCGGUAGUGACGGUAAUGGAUGAAGAAGCACCGGCUAACUACGUG
rnacentral:rRNA from 1 species